UCAGUCGACUCCUACGGGGAGGCAGCAGUGGGGGAAUAUUGCACAAUGGGCGCAAGCCUGAUGCAGCCAUGCCGCGUGUGUGAAGAAGGCCUUCGGGUUGUAAAGCACUUUCAGUCGUGAGGAAGGUAGUGUAGUUAAUAGCUGCAUUAUUUGACGUUAGCGACAGAAGAAGCACCGGCUAACUCCGUGCCAGCAGCCGCGGUAAUACGGAGGGUGCGAGCGUUAAUCGGAAUUACUGGGCGUAAAGCGCAUGCAGGCGGCCUGUUAAGUCAGAUGUGAAAGCCCGGGGCUUAACCUCGGAAUUGCAUUUGAAACUGGCAGGCUAGAGUCUUGUAGAGGGGGGUAGGAAUUUCAGGUGUAGCGGUGAAAUGCGUAGAGAUCUGAAGGAAUACCGGUGGCGAAGGCGGCCCCCUGGACAGAUACUGACACUCAGAUGCGAAAGCGUGGGGAGCAAACAGGAUUAGAUACCCUGGUAG
rnacentral:rRNA from 1 species